GACGAACGCUGGCGGCGCGCCUAACACAUGCAAGUCGAACGGAGCGAUUGGCUGGAAGUUUUCGGACGGAAGGCUAAAAGCUUAGUGGCGGACGGGUGAGUAACAUGUGAGCAACCUACCUUUAAGAGAGGGAUAGCACCUGGAAACGGGUGGUAAUACCACAUAAACCGGCAGUAUAGCAUUGUACAACCGGCAAAGGAGAAAUCCGCUUAGAGAUGGGCUCGCACCCGAUUAGAUAGUUGGUGAGGUAACGGCCCACCAAGUCGACGAUCGGUAGCCGGACUGAGAGGUUGAACGGCCACAUUGGGACUGAGACACGGCCCAG
rnacentral:rRNA from 1 species